rnacentral:rRNA from 1 species
GGGUUGUGAGGUUAAGCGACUAAGCGUACACGGUGGAUGCCCUGGCAGUCAGAGGCGAUGAAGGACGUGCUAAUCUGCGAUAAGCGUCGGUAAGGUGAUAUGAACCGUUAUAACCGGCGAUUUCCGAAUGGGGAAACCCAGUGUGUUUCGACACACUAUCAUUAACUGAAUCCAUAGGUUAAUGAGGCGAACCGGGGGAACUGAAACAUCUAAGUACCCCGAGGAAAAGAAAUCAACCGAGAUUCCCCCAGUAGCGGCGAGCGAACGGGGAGCAGCCCAGAGCCUGAAUCAGUGUGUGUGUUAGUGGAAGCGUCUGGAAAGGCGCGCGAUACAGGGUGACAGCCCCGUACACAAAAAUGCACAUGCUGUGAGCUCGAUGAGUAGGGCGGGACACGUGGUAUCCUGUCUGAAUAUGGGGGGACCAUCCUCCAAGGCUAAAUACUCCUGACUGACCGAUAGUGAACCAGUACCGUGAGGGAAAGGCGAAAAGAACCCCGGCGAGGGGAGUGAAAAAGAACCUGAAACCGUGUACGUACAAGCAGUGGGAGCACGCUUCGGCGUGUGACUGCGUACCUUUUGUAUAAUGGGUCAGCGACUUAUAUUCUGUAGCAAGGUUAACCGAAUAGGGGAGCCGAAGGGAAACCGAGUCUUAACUGGGCGUUAAGUUGCAGGGUAUAGACCCGAAACCCGGUGAUCUAGCCAUGGGCAGGUUGAAGGUUGGGUAACACUAACUGGAGGACCGAACCGACUAAUGUUGAAAAAUUAGCGGAUGACUUGUGGCUGGGGGUGAAAGGCCAAUCAAACCGGGAGAUAGCUGGUUCUCCCCGAAAGCUAUUUAGGUAGCGCCUCGUGAAUUCAUCUCCGGGGGUAGAGCACUGUUUCGGCAAGGGGGUCAUCCCGACUUACCAACCCGAUGCAAACUGCGAAUACCGGAGAAUGUUAUCACGGGAGACACACGGCGGGUGCUAACGUCCGUCGUGAAGAGGGAAACAACCCAGACCGCCAGCUAAGGUCCCAAAGUCAUGGUUAAGUGGGAAACGAUGUGGGAAGGCCCAGACAGCCAGGAUGUUGGCUUAGAAGCAGCCAUCAUUUAAAGAAAGCGUAAUAGCUCACUGGUCGAGUCGGCCUGCGCGGAAGAUGUAACGGGGCUAAACCAUGCACCGAAGCUGCGGCAGCGACGCUUAUGCGUUGUUGGGUAGGGGAGCGUUCUGUAAGCCUGUGAAGGUGUGCUGUGAGGCAUGCUGGAGGUAUCAGAAGUGCGAAUGCUGACAUAAGUAACGAUAAAGCGGGUGAAAAGCCCGCUCGCCGGAAGACCAAGGGUUCCUGUCCAACGUUAAUCGGGGCAGGGUGAGUCGACCCCUAAGGCGAGGCCGAAAGGCGUAGUCGAUGGGAAACAGGUUAAUAUUCCUGUACUUGGUGUUACUGCGAAGGGGGGACGGAGAAGGCUAUGUUGGCCGGGCGACGGUUGUCCCGGUUUAAGCGUGUAGGCUGGUUUUCCAGGCAAAUCCGGAAAAUCAAGGCUGAGGCGUGAUGACGAGGCACUACGGUGCUGAAGCAACAAAUGCCCUGCUUCCAGGAAAAGCCUCUAAGCAUCAGGUAACAUCAAAUCGUACCCCAAACCGACACAGGUGGUCAGGUAGAGAAUACCAAGGCGCUUGAGAGAACUCGGGUGAAGGAACUAGGCAAAAUGGUGCCGUAACUUCGGGAGAAGGCACGCUGAUAUGUAGGUGAAGUCCCUCGCGGAUGGAGCUGAAAUCAGUCGAAGAUACCAGCUGGCUGCAACUGUUUAUUAAAAACACAGCACUGUGCAAACACGAAAGUGGACGUAUACGGUGUGACGCCUGCCCGGUGCCGGAAGGUUAAUUGAUGGGGUCAGCGCAAGCGAAGCUCUUGAUCGAAGCCCCGGUAAACGGCGGCCGUAACUAUAACGGUCCUAAGGUAGCGAAAUUCCUUGUCGGGUAAGUUCCGACCUGCACGAAUGGCGUAAUGAUGGCCAGGCUGUCUCCACCCGAGACUCAGUGAAAUUGAACUCGCUGUGAAGAUGCAGUGUACCCGCGGCAAGACGGAAAGACCCCGUGAACCUUUACUAUAGCUUGACACUGAACAUUGAGCCUUGAUGUGUAGGAUAGGUGGGAGGCUUUGAAGUGUGGACGCCAGUCUGCAUGGAGCCGACCUUGAAAUACCACCCUUUAAUGUUUGAUGUUCUAACGUUGACCCGUAAUCCGGGUUGCGGACAGUGUCUGGUGGGUAGUUUGACUGGGGCGGUCUCCUCCUAAAGAGUAACGGAGGAGCACGAAGGUUGGCUAAUCCUGGUCGGACAUCAGGAGGUUAGUGCAAUGGCAUAAGCCAGCUUGACUGCGAGCGUGACGGCGCGAGCAGGUGCGAAAGCAGGUCAUAGUGAUCCGGUGGUUCUGAAUGGAAGGGCCAUCGCUCAACGGAUAAAAGGUACUCCGGGGAUAACAGGCUGAUACCGCCCAAGAGUUCAUAUCGACGGCGGUGUUUGGCACCUCGAUGUCGGCUCAUCACAUCCUGGGGCUGAAGUAGGUCCCAAGGGUAUGGCUGUUCGCCAUUUAAAGUGGUACGCGAGCUGGGUUUAGAACGUCGUGAGACAGUUCGGUCCCUAUCUGCCGUGGGCGCUGGAGAACUGAGGGGGGCUGCUCCUAGUACGAGAGGACCGGAGUGGACGCAUCACUGGUGUUCGGGUUGUCAUGCCAAUGGCACUGCCCGGUAGCUAAAUGCGGAAGAGAUAAGUGCUGAAAGCAUCUAAGCACGAAACUUGCCCCGAGAUGAGUUCUCCCUGACUCCUUGAGAGUCCUGAAGGAACGUUGAAGACGACGACGUUGAUAGGCCGGGUGUGUAAGCGCAGCGAUGCGUUGAGCUAACCGGUACUAAUGAACCGUGAGGCUUAACCUUACAACGCCGAAG